GUCUACGGCCACACCACCCUGAAUAUGACCCAUCUCAUCUGAUCCAGAAGCUAACAGGGUUGGGCCUGAUUAGUACUUGGAUGGGAGAAUAACAAUCUAGGGAGGUUACAAUCU
rnacentral:rRNA from 1 species